AGAGAGAGAGAGAGAGAGAAAAAGAGAGGGAGAGAGAGAGGAAGAGAAAAAGGAAGAGAAGUUGAAAAUUAAAUACGUCUUUGAAAGAUCGUGGACGAUAGACGAAUUCGAAUAAAGGACGGACAGAGUUUCCCUUUUUGCCGAUUUAUUUGGAAAAAGAAAAAGUGAACUCAUCUUCGAACGAAGAAACGGAGAAAUAUCAUCGAAUCGAAAACUUUGGAAUCAUCUUACAACCUCAGAAGAUCUUGUAAACGACGAAGGAAAAUAGAGUGCAUGAAAAUUCUUUUCAACGAAAGUUAUUCAACUUAUUUUUUGUCUUUUAGUUUUCUUUUUUAUUCAAUUAUUUUAUUCGUCUCUUACUUGAUUUUUCGUUGUAACGAAAAGUCGAGGAAGAUACAAAAUCGCGGAUAACGAAAAAACACGGGUGUUACAUAGAUUCAAGUGGAAUUGUAACGAUUCCGAGAGAAGUUUGUGCGACUUUACCUGCUGGAGCACGUGGUAUUCGAAUUUAACGGAAACUGCUUUCUCGUUGAUGAAAGAACGAUGAGUUUUUCGAUCGUAAAGAAAAUAAAUGCAAAUUGAAAAACUGGAAAAGAAUAAGAAUGAGAAAAGAAAAGAAAAUAAUCUCAUGAGAGAUGAGGAAAGGGUGUUGAAUCCGAGUCAGUUUGCACAACUCGUUUUCGUGUGGGAAUAAUGAAGGAAACAGUGUGCUGCUAAGAAAGAAGUAAAACAAUAUAUGUAAUGUGCGGUAGUAAUAUCGUAACGUAAACGUGUGGGAGAAAGCUGCACAUCUAUAUUUUCUCGAAGAAAAAAAUAUUCACAACCAGGCGUAUUAUUUUUUCUUGUUGAACGAAGAAAUGGAAAUUAUCCGAACGCGUAUCCGCCGACGGACAGCCACUUGCUUCGACGAACAAAAAUACGACUUGCGAGACGCAGCUUUAUGCUCGCGGAAGGAAUAUGCGUGUUUCUUCGUGUGCGGACGGUAAGAAUAGUUUGAUCGCUAAAUUUCAAACACGGGAUGUCGAAUAGCCUUCAUCGCUUUUAUAUUAACAAUAAGACUACGGUCCUAUGUGAGUUUGAUCGGAGGAUGAGAGUCGAAUAAUUGUCAAAAGUCGAUUAAUCGUGGAAGAGGAUAAGAAGGAUAGAAAGUGAGAGAGAAAGAGAAUAUAGGAGCCGAACGAUACGGCCCUGGUCUCUCGGUGGUUGAUAGGGUAUAAUCAUGCCGAGUUUCAUAUCUCGAAGGGGCCGCGGGAAGAUGGUCCAACAUCUGCCGCUGCAGGGAAUCUCUGCCCACAUGCUGGCCAGCAUACAGACGCACACGUACGCGCUCGCGUACAAGCGCAAAAAGUGACGUAGGUACACGGUGGGACGUCAUGUAAAUUCAUUCGAAACACAUGGCAAGACCCGAGAGCGCGCGGUGUUUCUCUUCUCUGCGAAAGGCUUUUCGAGAAAAGGAAUCUCGAAGAUGGCAGAAAAAGAGACCAUAACUUUGACUUCGACUUUGGUACUCCGACUAUUUCAGGCUGUGUCACGGAUCAAAUAAAUCCUUUUCCUAGUACGCUUCUUUUCUCCAGUUUUGUGUAUUUCUACUCGAGCGGUUAUUCUUUGAAACGAUUGCAGGUUGAAAUUAUUUAAAUAAUUUACUAAAUGGAAAAAUAGCGUCUCUAAUGGAAUAAAAAAGAAAAAGUUUAAUUUUUUAUUUUUAACUUCUCUCUAUUUUCUUUUCUUUCUUUUUUCUUUUUUAACAAUGUAUGUAUCUAUCAAUUUUUAUAUUCGAUAUAAAAACUAAUAGCGAGUUUUGAUAGCAACGCACGAUAUUUCGCCAUUGAAACGUUAAUGACGCCAGAGGGACGUUGAAAAAUGAGACUCGGGGCGAAGUGGAGAAGCGGAUAGGGGGGGGGGUGGACGACGGCGGAGGCCGAGGGGGUGGACGGGCCCGACCGAGAAAAGAGAUACGCUCGCAAAGCGUGCGGAAUUGCAGAACUGCCUUUAAUUAAAGUCAUCAAGCUAGUUGAACAAUUAUCAUUAAUUAUGGACGUCGCUUGGUCACUCACACGAGCCAUCACUGCCGCGAGAGUUGUAUGUAUUAUACACGUACGUAUGUCGGAAACGUUUGACUUUCCUUGCGUGCUUGACUUCGUUCUUAUGUUAAAGAAAGAACAAAAUCUAAAGAGAGGAGAAAGAAGGAGAGAGAAAGACAGAAAAAGAGAAAGAUAAACUGGAACAGAAGGAGAAGCACCGCAAUGGCAAGUCGUAAAAUGCACGAAUUUGACGGAUUUGAAAAUAACUCGCUUCGUCGAAAUCUCGUUGUUCUCCUUCUAAUUUAAAAUUAAAUUUUAAAAAUUAUUUUUUUUUCUCUGUUUCACCCCUCCCCCAUAUGUAUAGAAUCCAUUCGAAAUCGCUUUAAAAAUAGUUAGGACCGUCAACUCUUUGAUAUUCGUAAAAAAGUAAACGACGUACCAUGGUUCCCAUACUUCUUUUUUCUCUUCUCUUAUUUUACUUCUUUACUGAAGAGCGAAGAGGGGGGGGGGAAGAAGAAGAAGAAGAAGAAGAAGAAGAAGAAGAAGAUGAUAGCUAGCUCAGUUUGGUCCGCGAUAAAAACCAAGCGGCAAAAAAGAAAAAAAACGGGUUGCUUCUCUCGGAACGACGUCGAUUUCGAAAUCCAGACAUAGUUGAAAGACAGAGAGAAAAAAAGAGAGAGAGAGAGAGAGAGAGAGAGGAUCGUGUGGCACAAUAAAGAUAACGAUUUACGUUCGACUUUAUCGCUGGGUAGCUGGGGCCAAUGACUCGACGAAUGCGGGGUGAGCUCAUGUCUCGAUUCCGUGAUUUAAGUUCCGUUGUUGCCGCCGAUUCGAGUCAAUCGCUUCGUUUUUACUGAUUUGGACGCAGCUAGCCAUUGAGAGGGCGAGAGCAGCUUUUAAAGAAGCGAUAACAAAGUUCUAAUAAAUUCGAAGCAUUGACUGCAUUGUUUUUUCAAAUUAUAACGUUUCCAUAUCAUAUAUUGUUUCCAUUUUCUUCGAAUAACGGAAAGACCAUGAAGAUUAAAAUAUUUCUUUGUUUUUUUCCUAAUGUCCGUUUUAUUUGAAAUUUCCGAUAAUCACAUAUAUUCCCAUAAGUCGGAAUAACUUUACGGUAACUUCACAAACUACCCUAAAAGCUAUAUUCUAUCUUUCGCAUCUUUUUUGGUUUCUCCCAUUUGACUUGUUUUUUCUCUUUCUCUCUCUCUCUCUCUCUUUCUCUUUCUCUUUCUCUUUCUCUCCCUUCAUUUUUUUCUAGCGAGACAAUGACGUUAAUAACGGUAAUGAUCCUGUUAAGAGUUCUUAGGGCUCAUUCUUAUUAAAAAAAAAUUUAAGACCGGGACGAGUUUACGACUGCGAAUACCGGUAGAACGAGCCGUAUUUCUUCGCGAAAUUUAACGAACCUUCGCGCAAUGGGACACCAUUAAAAAAUUCCAGAGCGUCAUGUAGCACGGCGCACGCAAUGGCGAUAAAAGCUGAAGGAAAGAGAUAGAAAGAGAAAGAGAGAGAAGGAGUGAAAGGAAAUAAGAGGGAGUUGGAUGAGAGAAGGCAGCGGAUUAUGGAAGGCAGAGGAUGAGACUGACGAGAGGUUUAACAUCACGCGAACUUUAGUAAAAACAUUAUCGAUCGGUAAACGUGAUGCGCUCGCGCUGCGUUAAAGUUUGUAUCGUAAAUGGCCGAUCGUAAAAGAUCGAACGCCACGAAAUAAAAUUAUUUCUUAUUUCCGUACAAUGGGAAUACCUUAUAACAAAGGUAUAUUUUGAUUUUCGAUAAUUUCUUAUAUCGUGUGAUUAUUAUCGAAGAUUUUACGACACUAUAAAUUGUAUUUUUCGAGAAAAUAGUCGAAUUUUUUUUCUUUUUCUUCCAAGUAACUUUGUUAAAAAUGACGAUAAAUUUUAAUCGUACUGACCUCUAUUGCUUUUUCAAAGAAGGAUAUAAAUUUUCAAAAUGUUAUGCUCGAUGGAAACAAUAAUUCGCAAUAUCAUAUUCUGAAUUCAGAGAAACUUCUUCUAACUAUACUGUCUCGAAUAGAAAUUUAUAUUAUAAACUAUAGAAUUUAUAAACUUCAUUAAUUAUAACUUUAAGUUCGCAGAAAUUGAAAUAUUUAUUCGUAGAAUCGUAUAUUUUGAUGAAAUAUAUUCCUGGCUAAAGUGUCUUUUAAUUUACGAAGAAAUAUUUGCGGAUGUCUACUAAAAAAUUCAAUCAAAAA
rnacentral:lncRNA from 1 species